CUUCCUGCAGCUGUGACCACUUGCAGGCAGCUGCUAGAAAAGGACCAGAGUUGGGUGGAGGCUGUGGCAGAUGAAGGAGUAAAAGCUCUCAGGCAGGACAGCUGGGGAGUGCUUGAGAAGUAGAAGGGAAUUUUGGGGAUGAUUUUAUCCCUUGUGCUGUCUGGAGGGGGAGCCGAUAGCUCUGGAAGUAGAGGAGCUAGGGACUAAAAAGCCCCUGAAUGCUGGAGCUGUGUUGGUGUCCCAUUUUCUUCCACCUCCUCUUCCCCUAAGCUACAGCAGGCUGCUCCUUCUUGCAAGCUCUGUGUGUGUGGUGCUGAGACAUUGACACCUACCCCAGAUGGCCAUGAACAUGGCAAAUAAAACUGUCCCCUCGUUGUCAAUCAUGUGAGUGACCUGGAGAAGAUCAAGGAAGAAUGUGAUGGGGGCACCAAGGAGCACCUCGGGGCUGGGGAGAAGCCUCUGCACUUGGUAGUCCUCUUGCCACCCUGAUCUCCCAAGAGACAGUUCUUUGGCAUGAUUCAUGGUGCAGCCCUGCAAACAGUUAUGCUGCUGUUUCUAAGGGCACAGUGAUGCAGCACAGAAGAAGCUGCUGGGGAAGGGGAUAUCAUCAGUCAGGACUGCCACCGAAGACUUUGUGUCCCAAAACAGCGGCCAGACAGACGAGUUCAUCCAGAUGUAAUCUCGGGAGCGGAGCGGUGGUGGUGCAACCAAGUCCUGAUGUAAGAUCUGGAUCCCGAGCUUCCACUGAGGAAUGAGGCCAUGGGAGUCAGCAAGACUGAGAUGAGGAAAGGGCUGAAAUGCUCUGCCAGAUACUCUCUAAUGUGGAGCCACGACCCUGGCUUCACCCAGAGCAGAAGAGCAGUGGGGAGACUGAGGAAGACAAAGCAAGAAGACUUGGGAAGAGGGAUCCCCCCCAAAGAGGCGUUGUUAUGGUGUUCCCAGAUGCAUCCCUAUGCUGCUGUCCAACUGGUGUUAGCCCCAGCAGAGCUCAGGAGAAGGUGAACAGAUCUGCUAGCGUUGCAGUUUCUGUUUCCAGGUGGCUCCCAGGCACGUCAUCUGCACACACAGUCCCCUACUGGGAGGCAAAGCAUCCUGACCAGCACUACCCUACCCCAGAGAAAAGCUGCUGAAGGGAUUAGCAAGGUAGGUUC